rnacentral:rRNA from 1 species
AGAGUUUGAUCCUGGCUCAGAUUGAACGCUGGCGGCAGGCUUAACACAUGCAAGUCGAGCGGGGAAGAGUAGCUUGCUACUUUACUUAGCGGCGGACGGGUGAGUAAUGCUUAGGAAUCUGCCUAUUAGUGGGGGACAACAUUUCGAAAGGAAUGCUAAUACCGCAUACGUCCUACGGGAGAAAGCAGGGGACCUUCGGGCCUUGCGCUAAUAGAUGAGCCUAAGUCGGAUUAGCUAGUUGGUGGGGUAAAGGCCUACCAAGGCGACGAUCUGUAGCGGGUCUGAGAGGAUGAUCCGCCACACUGGGACUGAGACACGGCCCAGACUCCUACGGGAGGCAGCAGUGGGGAAUAUUGGGCAAUGGGCGCAAGCCUGAUCCAGCAAUACCGCGUGUGUGAAGAAGGCCUGCGGGUUGUAAAGCACUUUCAGUUGGGAAGAUAAUGACGUUACCAACAGAAGAAGCACCGGCUAACUCCGUGCCAGCAGCCGCGGUAAUA